UGAAGCGAUACCGAAAGGAGUCGUGGACAGUAUAGGAGAGAGAAUGUUGGCAUGAGUAGCGAGAUGAAGGUGAGAAUCCUUCAGGCCGUAAACCCAAGGUUUCCAGGGGAAGGUUCGUCCGCCCUGGGUUAGUCGGGACCUAAGCUGAGGCCGAAAGGCGUAGGCGAUGGAUAACAGGUUGAGAUUCCUGUACUACCGAUAAUCGAUUGAGAGAAGGGAUGACACAGUAGGAUAAGCUGAGCACACUGUUGGUUAUGUGUGUCUAAGUAUUGAGGCAGGUUAGAUAGGCAAAUCCGUUUAACCAAUGCUGGGAUACGAUGGGGAGCGAAACAAAGUAGCGAAGCAGCUGAUUUCACACUGUCGAGAAAAGUCUCUAUCGAGAUUAAAGGUACCCGUACCGCAAACCGACACAGGUGGGUGAGGAGAGUAUCCUAAGGCCAGCGAGAGAACUGUUGUUAAGGAACUCGGCAAAAUGACCCCGUAACCUAGGGAUAAGGGGUGCCCCAGAAAUGGGGCCGCAGAGAAUUGGCCCAAGCGACUGUUUACCAAAAACAUAGGUUUCUGCGAAGUCGCAAGACGAAGUAUAGGAGCUGACGCCUGCCCGGUGCUGGAAGGUUAAGGGGAUCUGUAAGAGAAAUCGAAGCAGUGAUCUUAAGCCCCAGUAAACGGCGGCCGUAACUAUAACGGUCCUAAGGUAGCGAAAUUCCUUGUCGGGUAAGUUCCGACCCGCACGAAAGGCGUAACGAUUUGGGCACUGUCUCAACAACAGACUCGGUGAAAUUGUAAUCCCGGUGAAGAUGCCGGGUACCUGCGACAGGACGGAAAGACCCCAUGGAGCUUUACUGUAGCUUGACAUUGGGUUUCGGUACUACAUGUACAGGAUAGGUGGGAGACGAAGAGACGAGGGCGUCAGUUUUCGUGGAGUCGACCUUGGGAUACCACCCUUGUAGUAUUGGGACUCUAACCAUAGGCCAUGAAUCUGGUCUUGGGACACUGUCUGGUGGGCAGUUUGACUGGGGCGGUCGCCUCCUAAAGGGUAACGGAGGCGCUCAAAGGUUCCCUCAGUACGGUCGGAAAUCGUACGAAGAGUGUAAAGGCAAAAGGGAGCUUGAUUGCAAGACAUACAGGUCGAGCAAGGUAGAAAUACGGACUUAGUGAUCCGGUGGUUCUGAGUGGAAGGGCCAUCGCUCAACGGAUAAAAGCUACCCUGGGGAUAACAGGCUUAUCUCCCCCAAGAGUCCACAUCGACGGGGAGGUUUGGCACCUCGAUGUCGGCUCAUCACAUCCUGGGGCUGUAGUUGGUCCCAAGGGUUGGGCUGUUCGCCCAUUAAAGUGGUACGCGAGCUGGGUUCAGAACGUCGUGAGACAGUUCGGUCCCUAUCCGUCGCAGGCGUAGGAAAUUUGAGAGGAGCUGUCCUUAGUACGAGAGGACCGGGAUGGACAUACCUCUGGUGUACCAGUUGUUCUGCCAAGGGCAUGGCUGGGUAGCUAUGUAUGGAAAGGAUAAGCGCUGAAAGCAUCUAAGCGCGAAGCCCAC
rnacentral:rRNA from 1 species